rnacentral:rRNA from 1 species
GUAGGGAAUAUUGCACAAUGGAGGAAACUCUGAUGCAGCGACGCCGCGUGAGUGAUGAAGGCCUUCGGGUCGUAAAACUCUGUGAUAAGGGAAGAUGAUGACGGUACCUUAUCAGAAAAGACCGGCUAACUUCGUGCCAGCAGCCGCGGUAAUACGAGGGGUCUAAGCGUUGUUCGGAAUCACUGGGCGUAAAGCGGGUGUAGGUGGCUAUGCAAGUUGGAUGUGAAAGCCCCGGGCUCAACCCGGGAAGUGCAUCCAAAACUACGUAGCUUGAGUGCGGGAGAGAAAGGCAGAAUUCCUGGUGUAGUGGUGAAAUACGUAGAUAUCAGGAGGAACUCCGGUGGCGAAGGCGGCCUUUUGGCCCAGCACUGACACUCAGACCCGAAAGCGUGGGUAGCAAACAGGAUUAGAAACCCCUGUAGUCC